rnacentral:rRNA from 1 species
CUCAGUUCGGACUGUAGGCUGCAACUCGCCUACACGAAGCUGGAAUCGCUAGUAAUCGCGGAUCAGCACGCCGCGGUGAAUACGUUCCCGGGCCUUGUACACACCGCCCGUCAUACCACGGAAGUUGGGGGCGCCCGAAGCCACUUAGCUAACCCAUUUGGGAAGCGCGUGUCGAAGGUGAAAAUCAAUAACUGGGGUGAAGUCGUAACAAGGUACC